rnacentral:rRNA from 1 species
GUCUAUGGCUAUGCCACCCUGAACACGCCCGAUCACGUCUGAUCUUGGAAGCUAAGCAGGAUCAGGCCUGGUUAGUUCUUGUAUGGGAGACCUCCUGCUGUAGGCA